AGUGAACGCUGGCGGUAGGCCUAACACAUGCAAGUCGAACGGCAGCACAGGAGAGCUUGCUCUCUGGGUGGCGAGUGGCGGACGGGUGAGGAAUACAUCGGAAUCUACUUUUUCGUGGGGGAUAACGUAGGGAAACUUACGCUAAUACCGCAUACGACCUACGGGUGAAAGCAGGGGACCUUCGGGCCUUGCGCGAUUGAAUGAGCCGAUGUCGGAUUAGCUAGUUGGCGGGGUAAGGGCCCACCAAGGCGACGAUCCGUAGCGGGUCUGAGAGGAUGAUCAGCCACACUGGAACUGAGACACGGUCCAGACUCCUACGGGAGGCAGCAGUGGGGAAUAUUGGACAAUGGGCGCAAGCCUGAUCCAGCCAUACCGCGUGGGUGAAGAAGGCCUUCGGGUUGUAAAGCCCUUUUGUUGGGAAAGAAAUCCAGCUGGCUAAUACCCGGUUGGGAUGACGGUACCCAAAAAAUAAGCACCGGCUAACUUCGUGCCAGCCGCCGCCGUAA
rnacentral:rRNA from 1 species